rnacentral:tRNA from 1 species
UGCCGGGUCGUCUAAUGGUAGGACGGAGCUCUUUGAAAGCUCUAAUGAACGUUCGAUUCGUUCCCCGGCAG